UACGGAAGGCAGCAGUGGGGAAUAUUGCACAAUGGGCGCAAGCCUGAUGCAGCCAUGCCGCGUGUAUGAAGAAGGUCUUCGGGUUGUAAAGUACUUUCAGUCGUGAGGAAGGUGUUAAGGUUAAUAACCUUAGCAAUUGACGUUAGCGACAGAAGAAGCACCGGCUAACUCCGUGCCAGCAGCCGCGGUAAUACGGAGGGUGCGAGCGUUAAUCGGAAUUACUGGGCGUAAAGGGCACGCAGGCGGUUAAUUAAGUUGGAUGUGAAAUCCCCGGGCUUAACCUGGGAAUGGCAUUCAAGACUGGUUAGCUAGAGUCUUGUAGAGGGGGUAGAAUUCCAUGUGUAGCGGUGAAAUGCGUAGAGAUGUGGAGGAAUACCGGUGGCGAAGGCGGCCCCUGGACAAAGACUGACGCUCAUGUGCGAAAGCGUGGGGAGCGAAACAGGAUUAGAUACC
rnacentral:rRNA from 1 species